AAGGAGCACCACGAAGAGCACUCCAAUUGGUGGGGUGCGAGCCGUGAGGGGUCAUCGUCUGUAGUGGACGAAGACCGGGUGCACGACAACAAGCUAAGCCAGACACACUAUUGGGUCCUGAGGCAACACCCUCGGGUGCUGUCCCCCCAUCUUGGUGGUGGGGUGUGGUGUUUGAGAAUUGGAUAGUGGUUGCGAGCAUCAAAAUGUAUGCGUUGUCGUUCUCGGC
rnacentral:misc_RNA from 1 species